rnacentral:tRNA from 1 species
UGGGCUGUAGCUGAGUAGUAAAAUGCUUGUUUACCAUGCUGGAGAUCCUGGGUUUAAUCCCCAGCAUCUCAA